ensembl:lncRNA
GUGACCCCAGUCAUGGGGUCAGUAUGGAGCUCUAUGGGGUGACUAUGGGGCUGUUUUGGGGUCACUAUGGAGCUCUAUGGGGUGACUAUGGGGCUGUUAUGGGGUCACUACAGAGCUCUAUGGGGUCACAUUGGGGCUGUUAUGGGGCCACUAUGGUGGUCUAUGGGGUCAAUAUGGGGCUGUUAUGGGGUCUCUAUGGAGCUCUAUGGGGGUUCUAAGGGGCUGUUAUGGGGUCAUUAUGGGGCAGUUAUGGGGUCACUAUGCGGCUCUAUGAGGUCACUAUGGAGCUCUAUGGGUCACUAUGAAGGUCUAUGGGGUCACUAUAGGGCUGUUAUGGGGUCUCUAAGGACCUCUAUGGGGUCUCUAAGGGGCUGUUAUGGGGUCUCUAUGCAUCAGUUAUGACAUCACUAUGAACUCUAUGGGGUCACUAUGGGGCAGUUAUGGGGUCUCUAUGCGGCAGUUAUGGGGUCACUAAGCGGCUCUAUGGGGUCACUGUGGAGCUCUAUGGGGUCUCUAUGGGACAGUUAUGGGGUCACUAUGCGGCUCUAUGAGGUCACUAUGGGGCAGUUAUGGGGUCCCUAUGGGCUCAAUGGGGCUCCAUGGGACUCUAUGGGCUCUGUGGUCCCUAUGGGUCAAUGGGGUCAAUGGGGCUCUGUGGACCCAAUGGGAUCUAUAGGAUCAGUGGGGCUCUGUGGUUUCUAUGGGGUCAAUGGGAUCAAUGGGGCUCUGUGGUCCCUAUGGGCUCAAUGGGGUCAGUGGGGCUCUGUGGUCCCUAUGGGAUCAAUGGGGUCAGUGGGGCUCUGUGGUCCCUAUAGGAUCAAUGGGAUCAGUGGGGCUCUGUGGUCCUUAUGGGGCUCAAUAGGAUCAGUGGGUUCUAUGACUCCUAUGGGAUCAAUAGGGCUCUCUGGACCCUAUGGGCUCCCUGGUCCCAAUGGGCUCUAUAGGAUCAAUGGGGCUCUGUGGUCCCUAUGGGCUCAUUGGGCUCAAUGGGGCUCUGUGGUCCCUAUGGGUUCAAUGGGAUCAAUGGGGCUCUGUGGUCCCUAUGGGAUCAAUGGGAUCAAUGGGGCUCUGUGGUCCCUGUGGGUUAUUUGGGAUCAAUGGGGCUCUGUGGUCCCUAUGGGUUCAAUGGGAUCAAUGGGGCUCUGUGGUCCCUAUGGGAUCAAUGGGGGCUCUGUGGUCCCUAUGGGGCUCUAUAGGACCAAUGGGUUCUAUGACCCCUAUGGGAUAGAUAGGGCUCCCUGAACAUUAUGGGCUCUGUGGUCCCUAUGGGCUCAAUGGGAUCAAUGGGGCUCUGUGGUCCCUAUGGGAUCAAUGGGGUCAGUGGGGCUCUGUGGUCCCUAUGGGUCAAUAGGACCAAUGGGGCUCUGUGGUCCCUAUGGGCUCUAUAGGAUCAAUGGGGCUCUGUGGUCCCUAUGGGCUCAAUGGGGUCAAUGGGGCUCUGUGGUCCCUAUGGGCUCUAUAGGAUCAAUGGGGCUCUGUGCUCCCUAUGGGUCAAUGGGAUCAAUGGGGCUCUGUGCUCCCUAUGGGAUCUAUAGGAUCAGUGGGGCUCUGUGGUCCCUAUGGGUUAUAUGGGGUCAAUGGGGCUCUGUGGUCCCUAUGGGCUCUAUAGGAUCAAUGGGGCUCUGUGCUCCCUAUGGGCUCUAUGGGAUCAUUUUCGC